UGUUAUAUACUAGAUUUUUUUCAAAAAUCUGAUUUUCAAAUAACUUUCAUUGAGUUUCGAAAGAUAUUUGACAAUGAGUGUUUACGAGUACACUCUGUUUUUCGAAGAAACCUACAGUAUGCUAGGGCGAUUAAGUAUUUGUUAUUUUGAUUCAGUAUAGUGGGAUUGAGCAAGAAUUAGAACGAUAAAUCUGUUGGAGGCUAUUAGCGUUAGAAAAGAAUUAUAGAUGUAGAUAAAGUUGAGAUUUAUUAAAUUAAUUUUAGCAUGAUUGUUGAUUACACGAUGCGCGGGGGUAGUGAACAUUCGUAAACGAGGAAAGACGGAUAACGAGCGAACUGGUUGUGGCUACGCUCGAGGAAUUUACUCACUGCUUACAGAAGCUUAUAUCUAGUUCAUUGCCAAGAAGGAAACCCUAAGCAUAUUAACCCCUUAAACCUGCUACUUCGUCGCCGAGGGUCGCUGUCGUGCGAGUUGCCUUGACGUUCGGUCAAAGACGUUCCUCCACCCUCACCUUUUAACUGAUCACUUCAAGUAGAACGCAUGUUCUUUCACGGAAUUACUCUCUACACGUACUUAAAGAGUUUCCUCGCGAUGGUGUAGCUAAAAGUAGUGAACUUACGCUUUGUAUUAACCAAUUACAUCUAUAAGGGAGGUAAGAGAUAAGAAUUUAUCUUUCGAAAACAUUUCGAAAAGAUUUGGAUAAGUUUACAUUUUGUUAGGUAUUGGAUAUUGAACAUUUUAUGUAAGGAUCCACGUUUGAGUGUUUUAUAGCCGUUUUAUUAACUUUUUAUUUAUAAUAAUAGGGGAGGAACGAUAAUAGAUACUGAAGUCAUCAUAAUGAAUUAUAGAGCACCGAAGCUAACAAUUAGUUCAAGUUUCAUAUUCGACCUGGUCCAUUAUCUCGCAUAAUAUUUCCAUUAAAAUAAGAUGGAUGAUGUCCAACUAUCUUCAGCAUAAUUAAAAUUAUCACUGCUAUUCAGAUAUGAUCGAAUGGUGGCUCUUGAUCUAACUAUAGACCGACAAUGACCCGAAUGCUACUUCUACUUUUUACUCCCUCAUUUCUCUCCAUACCCUUUUUUUUACUCGUUUCACGACAAGUUCCUCUGGCCUCUGGCCAAUUCUUAAUAAUCGCGAUAUAUCAUUGCACGCAAUAUCACAGGGUGUUUUUAAUUUCUUUUCUAGAUACUAUAUCGUUGACAUAAAUUAACAAUGUCUCGAGGACUCGUGUUAAAGAUUUCGCUUAUCUCCUUGAACCUGUUUCGUGUAAAUGAUGUUAAAGGGCUUGUAUGUUUAUGUUAACUUGUUUUAGCACCAACUGCUUUACAUUGUAAUAUGAUAUUGGGUAUAAGGAAACUGGUUUAUAAGUGGUAGGCGAUAAAAGAAGAGGAAAGAUUAUGGUUCAUUUAUACGCAACAGUGUCGUGUUCAGUUUACAAAAAAUAAAAAAAUAUAAAUAACCACCUCGACGUGAUGUUCAGGCUAUAAUUUAUAUGGGGGAAGAGGGUAAGGAGGGAAGCAGUCCCAGACAGGGAAUAGAUGUAAAAUGGUUACACGUGAAUGGACCUCUACAGUCAACUUUAAGAAUAAUUUCGGGGGUCCAUCUAUAGCGUCCUGAAAGCAGGGAAUUAUCGAGCAGUUACUGUACUUAGAAGAUCAUAUAAGUUAUGUGUUCAGCAUCGAGGCCAAGGGAUGCCUUUCAAGUUCGGCCAGUCUUCUAACGGCUUGCUUCCGUGCUCCACGUGUCUCUGUCACCGUGUCCAAAUCCUUCGUUUUCUGAUAACAGUGACACCUUUUUCUUUUUUUUGUUUUGUUAACGCGUUGACUGCCACAGUGAUGAUAAUUAGUAUAGUUAAACACAUUGUAAUUGCAGUUAUUCAAUGGUCUCAUUUAUCAUCUUCCUACCAUUUGAAAUUUUCUUUAACUUUGUCUUCUUCCAGUGAUUCGAUUAUACUGAAAUUGUGGGGUCAUCCGUGAUCCCUGCGGCAGUUAACGUGUUAAUAGUGAAAAAUGUUAUUUGUCUCUGGACCAUAUACGAAUUCGUGAAUCCUUGACAUUUCGUUGUGUAAAUGAUUACAAGAUUUUCAAUUAUCGCAAUGAUGACCGAGGGAUCGAAGAGAAGAAACCGUUUAACACAUGUGCUCCUCAGGAGGAAGAAAUGACGAGUCUGAGUCUUUCAAUAAUAAUUUAUUUUACAAAGUGGUAGAACACCAAGAUGUGCAUAAUGAUAUUAUUACUGCCUUUUCGACUGCAAAUGGUGUUUCCCAAUGGGAAUCGCGAAGAACGUGGUGAAGAGAAUGAUAGGGACUGUAAUGUCUUUCACGAAAUUAACAUAAAUUGCUAAAACAUUAUGCUUUCAAACAUAAUCUCACAUUGGGAGUCUGAAGGUGAUUAAACGAAGACGGAUAUUUUGGAAAAGAUUAAUUUUGAAAAUAUUAAGACCUUCGAUUAUUAAAUUUCUAUGAUUACAAAAAGAAAACCAAUCCUCAAACUAAACUUCAAUAUUCAGAGCCCAAAGUUGCAGUUAUUAUCCAUCGAGUUAAGAUCACUUCGAAAGUGAAAAUCCUGUACAAGCAGAUUCUUCAAGUUUCUUUGAUUCAAGUUAAAUCUACCGCAAAAACGGAUUUGUCUAACGAAGACGAAGGCGAUUGUCUUCUGGUCGAGGAAGAGGGUACGCGAACAAAGGCGGUUCGCCGUCCACGACGUACGAAAAUGCCUCUAAUGCUCAGGAUGAUCGACGUUUUCGGCUACCUGAGGUCACUGUUCAAGGUGCAAAAGAUCUCCGAGGACACCAUGAUAUUUCGUCUACAUUAUCGUGCGACAGUGGCUCUUUUAUUAGGGAGUUGCUUGACUUUGGCCUGCAAGAGUAUCUCCGGUUCGCCUAUACACUGCGAGGCUUCCGGUUCCGUGGAUAAGGUCGUUUUGGAGACGUUUUGUUGGUUGCAUACUACUUAUAGUAUGGUGCACGCGUUUAAUAUGACCCUUGGACAGGCGGUACCUUAUCCUGGUGUGUCGAACAGCAAAGGCGAGGGGAUGCAUGGCCAUACCUCGCAUCCUUUGGUUAAACAGCACAAGUAUUAUCAGUGGGUCAUCUUCUUUCUGCUGUUACAAGCGAUCCUCUUUUAUACGCCACGAUGGUUAUGGAAGGGGUGGGAAGGUGGCAAGAUCCAUGCGUUAAUGAUGGACCUCGACAUCGGCCUUUGUUCCGAGGUCGAGAAGAAACAGAAGAAGAAGAUGUUACUUGACUAUCUCUGGGAAAAUCUUCGCUAUCACAAUUGGUGGGCUUACAGGUAUUACCUCUGUGAAGUUCUCGCCCUGGUGAAUGUUGUCGGUCAGAUGUUUCUGAUGAACCGCUUCUUCGACGGUGCCUUUUUGACGUUUGGUAUCGACGUGCUCAGGUUCCUCGAAUCGGAUCAAGAGGACCGGGUCGAUCCAAUGAUUUACGUGUUCCCACGGAUGACCAAGUGCACCUUCUAUAAAUACGGCGUCAGCGGUGAAGUGGAGAGACACGACGCCGUUUGUAUACUGCCCCUGAACGUCGUCAACGAGAAGAUAUACGUAUUUCUAUGGUUCUGGUUCCUCUUUCUCGGCGUGCUCAGCUUCGUAACGGUUUUAUACAGGAUCGUAAUUAUAUUUUCGCCGCGAACGAGGGUUUAUCUUCUAAGGUUGCGGUUUCGUUUGGUCAGAAGAGAAGCCGUAGAGACGAUUGUUCGAAGGAGCAAAGUAGGCGAUUGGUUUCUUCUCUAUAUGCUCGGUGAGAAUUUGGACUCGGUGAUAUACAGAGACGUGAUGCACGAGUUAGCGAAUAAGCUCGCGUCCAGACACCAUCAUAGCGUGCCUGGAAUCAAGGGAGAGCUUCAAGAAGCCUGAUGGAAAUUGCCUCGGAGAGCCGUGGGAGCGAUUAGGAUUUUCGAGGCGAGUAGAAUACUUUUCGGCCAAAGAUGGAACGAACGAUGCCAAAGAUGGAGACCCAAGGAUGAAAUAGAACGGAUUACAUUUUUAUUUACAACUCGGCGUCUGUGUUUUUCUUAUCUAUUCGAUAAUUGACUGAUGUGUACACAGGGAUGAUCAUAGUUCGAUGAAGGUUGAUCAUUUCGCGUAAAAGACAAAUUGCCAUCUUACGACGAUCUUUUUUUUUUUAUUUUUCAAGUAUUCACCGUCGAGCUCGAGUUUCGCGAAGUGGACUCAAAAUUGCAUCCUUUUCUUUUAUGCAGUUCGAGUCUAAGGGACAUCAGUAUAGUUUUGUAACCGUUGUGAAAAUCGAUGACGAAAACGAAGAUACAUGUAUUCCCUUUGCUUUAAGCGUUCUACCUCGUUAAGUUUCGCUGAAAAUCGGAGUUUGACACUCCGCCAUUUUCUUAUAGACACACCGGUAGGGAUGCAACGAGGAUCGAUGUAUUUUCUUUCACAAAGACUGUGCGAGAAGGAGACUCGUGAGGAUAACUUUUACCAAUGACUCUUGAAAUAAAUGUAUUUUUAUUUAAAAGGUAAUUUAAUAAACAUAGUUUAUCAUACUAAUUGUGGAAAGAUAUUGUCGUCGAGAAAUUAGCGAGAAAUUUUCUGAGAUUCUCUAAGGGGUUGUUAGAAUUUUGUAAGACUAGUAUAAGAAGUAUUUCGCAGGGGUUAUAUUAAGACCUCUGUAACAAAAACUUGAAAAUAUAAAAAUAAAAUCAGUGGGUUUUGCAGCAAUCUUCUUCAGGAUAAUUUCAACGAAGCACCACCGUUACUGCAAUUUCGACAAACGGUGCAGGUUCCUCGGGUACAAUUGGCAGUUUCGUGAGAAGAGGAUCAGGAUGACGAUGGGGUACGGGUCACCAUAUUCGGAAGUGCGAGGACCAACCGGUCCGUUGGUCCUGUUCGACAGUCACGAAACAACGGGUUUGAAAAGGAGACAGAGGUGAACGCGUUCCUUCUUUGUAAUCUGAUCGAGAACACUGGCAUUUAAAGGACCCUUUACAUCCUUUCACUGUCCACGCCGUUGGUCCAAUCACUGCCCCGUAUCAAUUCCGUUCUAGUAUCUAUUAUUUUUCUAUUAAGUUCCUGUUAUGAUAGUUUCAUCCAAAUAGAUUUUUCGUUUAUUUUUAUCUUUCUAUAGAUGCUGGAACGUUAAGCAUGUCGAUUGACACUGGUAAUUAUUAAGGGAAGACCCAACCACUAAAUUUUUCUUAAAUUCUUCUAGAAUCAAAAGCAAAUGGUGGUGGGAGGCUCCCUCUUCUAACCUUACCCUUAACUAAAGGAAGGUUAGGUUACAUUGUCCCCAAGUGUAUUCCCUAAUAGUGAAGAGUAGGGGUUAACAUGCCAAAUAGUGCAUUGUGGUAGCGGCUUAAGGCGGUAUAACAUACAGUCCUGGUAUAUUUGACUUCUAAAGAAAGAACCAACAGCAAAGGAAUAUGUUAAAAAUGUUACUCUUCUUUUUUUGCUGUUGGAUUCCUUUAUUCAGAAUCAUCUGUAAACAGCACGGUUAAAUUAUCGACAUUUCAUAAUUGUUUUCUUUGAAUGAAAAGAAAGAAAGAAAGUUAGAAGAGAUGAAAAGAGACGGAAAGUUUGGGUGUGGGUGUCCAAGGUCUUCAGCUUGCCAUUUACGGCCGUGUAUGAAACCGGACACAGUAAACUGCGACAAUGAGCGAGAAGGAGGUAAAGUUGAAAAGAAACGUAAAGGCAAAGCGUGUUUUGGUCUUAUCGCGAGCUGGCAAGAUGGCUUAAAUCUACAUCUCGAAGGAGUUUGACUCUGUUCGCUCGCCAUUCAUUCCAGGGAAUUCUUAUUUCACACUUGCUGUUAACGAAUUGAAUGUAACAAUUCUGCAAACGUCUUUGCGGGGUGACAUUCUUCGUACUUUCUUGAAAAUUAAAUGUCAUAUGUAGAAAAUAAAAUAUUCCACUUUCGCUGGUUAUUACGUAAAGAAUUGCCUGAUGUACGGUUAUGUCAUAACUGCUGAUAUGUCUUGUGCCGUAUUAACAAUUUAUGUUUCAGCUGAUCCGUCCGAUGAAACUUCAUAGUUUCACCUGUAAUUUUGAUUACCAAUUAAUUUAUCAGUUGGCCGAGUUAAUUCGACCCAGACCUGCUUUGGUAAAUAUUCAUCAUUUAUUGAAGAGUGCAUCUUCACCCGUAGGACCAUUCAUUACUUUGUUACCCAAUCAUCACCCAAAAUCUCAAAUUCCUUUGAAUUUUGAACUUGCUAAAAUUCUCUUAUUAAUAAACGAAGGAAUAUCGUAGGAUAAAUUUGACAGCUUCACAGAAGCCGAAGACAUCAUGUAGAGUAUCUGGCUGGAGGUUGCAGAGUACAGGGCGACAUAAGGCCACGCAUUCGCAGGCGUAAAUAGGUGGGUGGAUUGGGUAGGCAGGAAGGAUAGCCGUAAGAACGCGAGAGUGGCGUGUACACAUGCGAGGCCGUGUACACCGUAGAAAAGAGAGGGAAGCAAACCGCUCGGUUUGUUAAGAGGUCUCUCCUGUCGCAGGUAAAACGUCGUCUCUGGAAAGUGAGUUCAGUCGCGGCCGCGCGAUCGCGUCGAACGAUAUUUGUUUGCGCGUGCAGCUUGUUCACUUCUAGGAGCGUUACCGUUUGGCUCCGGGAAACAUCGGUGUGCCUUGAAACAGCAUCCUCGCACGUUGCCAGCGAGCGUACCAACCAGACAAGAUCGGCGGCAUGCGAUCAUCGUAGCGAGCGUCCAGGGACAAGGGGAAGAGAUUUCAAUCGUUUGAGCGGCAUAAGCGAUAAACGUGAG